rnacentral:rRNA from 1 species
AAGCGGUGGAGCAUGUGGUUUAAUUCGAUGAUACGCGAAAACCUUACCUGGGCUUGAACUGUGCAUGACAGGUGUAGAGAUACACCCUCCGCAAGGCAUGUACAGAGGUGCUGCAUGGUUGUCGUCAGCUCGUGUCGUGAGAUGUUGGGUUAAGUCCCGCAACGAGCGCAACCCUACCCUUUGUUGCUACCAGAUAAUGCUGGGCACUCUAAGGGAACUGCCGGUGAUAAACCGGAGGAAGGUGGGAUGACGUCAAAUCAUCACGGCCCUUAUGUCCAGGGCUACACACGUGCUACAAUGGCCGGUACAAAGCGUUGCAAACCUGCGAAGGGGAGCCAAUCGCAAAAAACCGGUCUCAGUUCAGAUUGCAGUCUGCAACUCGACUGCAUGAAGCUGGAAUCGCUAGUAAUGGCGGAUCAGCAUGCCGCCGUGAAUACGUUCCCGGGUCUU